AUCAAAAACAUGUCUUAAAGAUAAUAAUGUUAAGUCGGAUCUGCUCAAUGAAUUUGUUUUAAAUAGCUGCAGAAUUUUAACUGUACAAAGGUAGCAUAAUAAAUAGUUUAUUAAUUGUAAACUGGAAUGAAUGAUUUGUUAAAAUAUUUGUUGUUUCGAUAUAAAUAAUAAAAUUUUAAUUUUAAGUAAAAAUGCUUAAAUUUAGUAAAGGGACGAGAAGACCCUAUAGAUUUUUAUAUUUGAUUUAAGUUUAAUAAUUUAUUUAUUUUUUAAUUUAAGUUAAAUAUUUUAAUGGGGAAUUAUGGAAAUAAAAUAAUUUUUUAUUUUAUAUACNUAAAUUUAUGGAGUUUAUUUAAUAAUUACUAAUUAAAUAAAAUAAAAAUACCUUAGGGAUAACAGCAUAAUGAUUUUUUUAAGAUCAAAUUUUAAAAAUUGAUUGUGACCUCGAUGUUGA
rnacentral:rRNA from 1 species